AGGGUUUGAUUCUGGCUCAGAAUGAACGUUGGCGGCGUGGAUUAGGCAUGCAAGUCGAGCGAGAAGUUUACUUCGGUAAAUGGACAGCGGCGAAAGGGACAGUAAUGUGUAGGUACCUACCCCCCGAUCUGGGAUAGCUGCGGGAAACUGCAGGUAAUACCGGAUAAUGUCUUCGGACCAAAGGUGUGAUUCCGUCAGGGGAGGGGCCUGCAUCCUAUUAGCUUGUUGGUGAGGUAAUGGCUCACCAAGGCAACGAUGGGUAGCGGGUGUGAGAGCAUGACCCGCGUCAUUGGGACUGAGACACUGCCCAGACAUCUACGGAUGGCUGCAGUCGAGAAUCUUCGGCAAUGGGCGAAAGCCUGACCGAGCGACGCCGCGUGCGGGAUGAAGGCCCUCGGGUUGUAAACCGCUGUCGUUGGGGAGGAAAUGCAAAAGGGUUAUCCCUUCUGUUUGACCGAUCCAAGGAGGAAGUACGGGCUAAGUUCGUGCCAGCAGCCGCGGUAAGACGAACCGUACGAACGUUAUUCGGAAUUACUGGGCUUAAAGGGUGCGUAGGCUGCACGGAAAGUUGGGUGUGAAAGCCCUCAGCUCAACUGAGGAAUUGCAUCCAAAACUGCCGUGCUAGAGGGAGACAGAGGUGAGCGGAACUCAAGGUGGAGCGGUGAAAUGCGUUGAUAUCUUGAGGAACACCGGUGGCGAAAGCGGCUCACUGGGUCUCUUCUGACGCUGAGGCACGAAAGCUAAGGUAGCAAACGGGAUUAGAUACCCCGGUAGUCUUAGCUGUAAACGAUGAGCACUUGAUUGGAGGGUCCUCCAUAGCCUUCCAGUCGUAGCGAAAGUGUUAAGUGCUCCGCCUGGGGAGUAUGGUCG
rnacentral:rRNA from 1 species